UACGUAGGGUGCGAGCGUUAAUCGGAAUUACUGGGCGUAAAGCGUGCGCAGGCGGUUCGUUAAGUUCGUUGUGAAAGCCCCGGGCUCAACCUGGGAAUGGCAUUGGAAACUGGCGAGCUGGAGUGUGGCAGAGGGGGGUGGAAUUCCGCGUGUAGCAGUGAAAUGCGUAGAGAUGCGGAGGAACACCGAUGGCGAAGGCAGCCCCCUGGGCCAACACUGACGCUCAGGCACGAAAGCGUGGGGAGCAAACAGG
rnacentral:rRNA from 1 species